CUGUUUUAUAAUCCAAUUAUUGUGCACGUAUAGAGAACAUUGUUGCAUUUUUGAAUACUCCGCAUCGACGAUAGACAAAACUAAAGCUGCAUUUCAAUUUGAAGAUGGAAUCGCUAAAGUUUAUUUCAAUUUUCUUUUUAAUAAUUGUUUUGUAGUCAAAAGUGAAGCGAUAACUGGUGAUUUCAUUAUCGAACAAAGAUUAAUGACUCAAUAUUGUCACAAUGCGGCUAUUAUGUGCCAAAAAAUAGCGGUGAAAAAGUGUUUUAUUGCUCCGGUGGUAUUGUCUCCCAAUACGGCGUUCUGACAUCGCUAGAUUUCCACAGAGACUUAGAAAAUCUAAAUUGUAUAAAAAAAAUUGUGCGAGUCGGUAGUGUCGAUAUCUCCAACGGCACAGAGUAUGAGAUUGAAAAAAUUAAACCAUAUCCUUACACUUCAAAAUACGUUUAAAUUGCUGUUGUGAAAAUUAAACGACCAUUACAAUUAAAUAACUACGUUUGCAAAUUAGACAUUAUUAGUGAGUUAAUAUGACAGGUACCUUAGUAGAGAUGAGUGGGUAUGGACAAGACGGCACGAACAAAGAGACAGCUGGAAAAUUAAGAGGCGUGGAGAUGAAGGUUAUGAGUAGAUUGGAGUGUAAUGAUAUGAUCUGGAAUAUAUUCGACAACAAAGUCUCCCAGAGAGUGAUUUUUGUUUCCGAACCAAAGACGUAGGAAUACAUGAUAUCAUCGACUUAGAAACGUCAGCCAGAUUAAAAGAUUUUGAAACAUGGAUAUUUCAACAAUUAUCAACUAUGGAACAUAGAUCCAAUGACAUAGUAAAAAAGAAUACACGAAUCCAAUGAUAUUGCUAAAGUCAAACCCGAGGGACCGCAAUAUCAACGUAUUUUGAAGUGUACGGAUAUGGUUUAAUUACUUCAAUCUCAUACGCUGUGCCAUUAGAGAUAUCGACUCUACCGACUCGCACAAUUUUUUUUAUACAAUUUAGAUUUUCUAAGUCUCUGUGGCAAUCUAGCGAUGUCAUAACGCCGUAUUAGGAGACAAUACCACCGGAGCAAUAAAACACUUUUUCACCGUUAUUUUUUUGGCACAUAAUAGCCACAUUGUGACAAUAUUGAGUCAUUAAUCUUUGUUCGAUAUGAAAUCACCAGUUAUCGCUUCACUUUUGAUUACAAAACAAUUAUUAAAAAGAAAAUUGAAAUAAACUUUAACGAUUCCAUCUUCAAAUUGAAA